rnacentral:sRNA from 1 species
UUUUUGCGUUAGGGAUGGCAGCGACAUCCUUUUUUAAAUUUCUGCGGGAGCAAAAUUUAAAAAAGAUAUAGCGAACAGCCCAACCCGUU